CGUGCGGCUGGCUGAUGGCGCGGCCGGCCUGCUGCGGGCCGGCGACCGGGUGGACGUCCUGGCUCCGGCGCAGGACCGCGCGG
rnacentral:tRNA from 1 species